GCUGGGGGAGCAGGGAGGUGGUUGAAGAAGUGCAGUCAUCUCUUGUCCCUUGCAAAGAAGAGCUGCAGCUGAUCUCUUUGUUUCCAGCUGAAAUGGAGGUGGAUUUUACAAGUUCCCUUUUCUAAACACAUGGUGACCAGAGCAAGGAGCCUGAAGGAAUGGACUUGAUAUAGUCAGGGAGAGGUGUGGGAAGGAAGAGCUGAGGAUGGACUGACAGCUGCUGCUCAGGUCCUGCUGUGCUUCCUGCUGGUGUCAAAAGCAAUUGAAAAACUGGCACAAAAGAUCACAGGAAAGAGGAGAUUGUGCCUCCCAGAUGCUGCAGAUUGUUCAGAGAUGGAAUUGGAGAAUAAUUGAAGUUGGAAAAGACUGCCAAGAUCACCAAGUCCAACCACCAACCCAUCACCUCCGUGCUCCCCAAACCAUGUCCUUUGUUGCCACAUCUACCCUCUUCUUGAAAACUUCCAGGUAUAGUGACUCCAAAACCUCCCUGGGCAGCUCCAGUUGAUCUGGAAAGUCCAGCUGAAUGUUAUCCACCCUACUUCCCACUGUAGCCAACAAAAUUCUGCUGUGGGUCCAAAUGUUAAUAGCUCCAUUAUGAACAGUAGAAGAACCUGUUUGUGGCCAUUGGUGAGAGGCACUGAUCGCUUUCUGACCUUGCAGCAGUGGGAUUUGAAAAUGUAGAGCAAUGGGUGUAAAUCAAUCCAUGGGCUCUUGUCAAAUCAGCUGUAAUGCUCUAUGAUGAGCUGAGCUACCAAAGAAGGAAGGCAAGUCACAAUCAGUGCUCAGUCAAAAUGUCAAGAAAGGGUUCAUUUUUUGCAUAUAUUCCAUGAUGUAGAACACAGAACUCAUGCAAUUUGUAUAGAGUUUUAUAGUGUGUGUGUAUGGGUAUAUCUAUAUGCAUACGUAUGUACAUGUAUGUUUGUCAUUAAGAAUGAACAGAGAUGACUUGGAUG
rnacentral:lncRNA from 7 species